GUUCUCACUUUAGCAGCACAUAUACCAAAUUUAGAAUGACACAGGGAGGAUUGGCAUGGUCCCUGGGCACAGAUGACAUGCAAAUUAAUGACAAAUCUCGUGGGUUG
ensembl:snRNA U6 U6 spliceosomal RNA